rnacentral:SRP_RNA from 1 species
CAGACAUAGUGGCACAUGCCUAUAGUCCCAGCUACUCGGGGAGGCUGAGGUAGGGGGAUCGCUUGAGCUCAGGAGUUCUGGGCUGCAGUGCGCUAUGCCAAUUGGGUGUCUGUACUAACUUCAGCAUCAAUAUGGUGACCUCCCGGGAGUCGGGGACCACCAGGUUGCCUAAGGAGGGGUGAACUGGCCCAGGUCGAAAACGAAGCAAGCCAAAAGUCCCGUGCUGAUUAGAUUUAUUUCUAUGCAUUUCCAUAUACUUGCGCAUAUAAAUGUUUUAUAUUUUA